rnacentral:lncRNA from 1 species
UCUCAUUCUCAUUCACGUUCACAUUCUCAUCCACAUUCACGUUCUCAUUCCCCUUAACUCAUUCACGUUCUCAUUAACUCAUUCGUCUACACUUAGACUCGUACUCAACUCUAGACGCCACCCGUUAUCGGUGUCUCAUAGAAUACACUUCACAAUCUCAAACACAAGGGUGAUGCCUAAGAUAUCCCAUUCACAUACAUCUAUCACCUUAACCAUUCACUUCUUUCUAGCAACCUAGCUCACAUUCACAAUCAUCACUUGGGACAUAACAGAUCAAUCACACAAACAUCAUUCAUUAAUCAUUCAUCACAGCAACACAAGGCAGUCCAUUAAGUCCUAUUUAACAAGAUGAGUGUUCUUAUGCAACAUGAUCCAUUCAUCUAGCAACCUAGCAAUCAUCAUGAUCUAUCAACCUAACUUUCACACAGGGUCUAAUCAGACCAAAUUCCAACAUAAAGAGGUAUAGGGAACCAUGCGAGAAGACUGGGUUCAAGCCACCUCACCUUAGCCUAAAUC